ACUACAGUACAAAAGAAAGAACAGGAUCAUAAAAUCAUGAGAAACCAGAUUCUCAGCCGCGGGCCAGGAAUCCUCAUGCUACUUCAUGGAGUCCGAGCCUAGGGAGGAAUACAGUUUGUUGAGGUUCAUGUGUCCAGCCUCAGAAGAUAACUCAGGAUCUCCCUGGAGAGGGCUGACUGAAGAGGCACCGAGAGGAAUGUCACCCUGCAGGUGCCCGGGUAUGGGCGGAGCCACUGCCUGCUCCUGACAGAGCCAAGGCUCACCUGCUGCCUAGUCCGGCCAGAGUCUAUAAAACACCUCUCAGACACCCACUCUUCAACCACCCUAAACCUCCAGCACUAACUCAUCCACUUCUGGAUCUGACAGGGUUACUUGAACUUCCACUUAGAUGUCCUGCCAGCAAGACCAGCGGCUGUGCCAGCCUCCUCUGAAAGGGCUCACGACUGAGUGCCCCCCAAAGUGUCCCCCUAAGAGUCCUCCCAAGACACCCUGCUCCAGUUUCUUCCUGGUGAGGCCCUAGCCCCAGGGCCUUGUGGCCUCAGGAGUCCAAGGCAUCAGAGCUCCAGCUGUUAUCCCCACUUUUGGCUGCUUUCCACCUGGGCUCUGAGCAUCAGUUGAGGGACCAAAAGGCCAACAAGAACCAGCAUGUCUUGUGCUUCUUGUCUCCCAGCCCUUUUUCAUCCUGCUGAGUGUCAACUGCAGGACAUGAGCAUGCUGGAGCUAUGCCUUGGGAAUAGCCAUUGGCACAACUUUGGGACUGGGCUCAAGACUUGCAUCCUGAUACUUGGAUGUGAUUGCUCUGAAUGAGCUACUUUGCUACAAUAAAUAUCUUUAAAAUGCCCUUGGUCUUGUGAUUUUUUUCAUUCAUGUUUCUACUUUCCCUACCUUGUCCUCUUGACAUAGAUGUCUCAAUAGAUGGCGGGGUUCUGAACUUUGGCUGAAUAGAAGAAUAAUCAACCUACCAAACAGGAAUUAACUUUUAAAAGGAAGUGGAUACUUUAACAAACCUAAAAUGUGGACAUAUUACUGAAAUAAAUUUAUUCUGAGUACACUGAUUAGGGAGAAUCUUACUAAAAAAAUGUGUUCAAACUGUCCCUUUAAAUAAACACCUUUUAAGUGACUAUGACAGAAAGUGUCCUUCUAUGUAAAAAAGACAUGAAUUUAGACAUUUUAUAAGGGCCCUUUCAAUAAAAUAUGAUGUUGAUUGAUAAGUUUGUGGCCAACCUUUGAUGUUGAGUUGAUUGUUACUUAAAAGAGGAUUUGUAGCCACCAGUCCUGA